AUUGAACGCUGGCGGCAGGCCUAACACAUGCAAGUCGAGCGGAUGAAGGGAGCUUGCUCCUGGAUUCAGCGGCGGACGGGUGAGUAAUGCCUAGGAAUCUGCCUGGUAGUGGGGGAUAACGUCCGGAAACGGGCGCUAAUACCGCAUACGUCCUGAGGGAGAAAGUGGGGGAUCUUCGGACCUCACGCUAUCAGAUGAGCCUAGGUCGGAUUAGCUAGUUGGUGGGGUAAAGGCCUACCAAGGCGACGAUCCGUAACUGGUCUGAGAGGAUGAUCAGUCACACUGGAGCUGAGACACGGUCCAGACUCCUACGGGAGGCAGCAGUGGGGAAUAUUGGACAAUGGGCGAAAGCCUGAUCCAGCCAUGCCGCGUGUGUGAAGAAGGUCUUCGGAUUGUAAAGCACUUUAAGUUGGGAGGAAGGGCAUUAAGUUAAUACCUUGCUGUUUUGACGUUACCAACAGAAUAAGCACCGGCUAACUUCGUG
rnacentral:rRNA from 1 species